UGUAAGCGUAUACCAAAGUUGUUGCAGUUAAAACGCUCGUAGUCGGAAUUUGGCAGUUCCGGAUGUGUGCACGUCGUGUGCGCACUUCGCGGGGAUUGCUUUUGUGGUCUUGCGUAGGAUGAGGCACUUUUAUUAGUGAACGUCCUCACGCAACCACUUUUUACCGUGAGAAAAUCAGAGUGCUCAAAGCAGGCAUUUGCCGUGAAUGUAUUAGCAUGGAAUAAUAGAAUAGGACUCGGUUCUAUUUUGUUGGUUUGUUGGGACUGAGUAAUGAUUAAGAGGGACGGUUGGGGGCAUUUGUAUUUCGGCGCUAGAGGUGAAAUUCUUAGAUUGCCGAAAGACAAACUGCUGCGAAAGCGUCUGCCAAGGAUGUUUUCAUUGA
rnacentral:rRNA from 1 species